rnacentral:pre_miRNA from 1 species
UCUUAUAGAUGAGCAAAAAGUGGUUUCCUGAGAUGGAAUCUACUCCUGGUGAGGAUGCUGUGAC